rnacentral:lncRNA from 1 species
AAGGAUGGGGCCAAAUCUCGGAGAAGGAGAGCAGUACUCACCCAGAAGCACAAGAGUGAGUGAGCCCUGGGGUUUCUGCAGGGUUGGAGGUGAGCCAGGAGCAUGAGGAAUGACGACCAGAGCUGAGGUGAGGGUGGAGGGUGGACUCCGGGGGCAGGUCAACACUGCUGUUUCCUCCUCCUUUCCUUAGAGAAGCAGUCCGUUCUGCAUCUUGUUCCAAUUAACAUUACCUCCAAGGGUAAGCAUUAUUUGAAAUAACCGCACUGGGAGGGGCACCAACCAGGAACUGUGGGGCUGGGGCCAAGAGAACCCUAGAAAUGAGAAGGGAGAGAGCUCAUGUGUAUGAGGGUGAAGAAAUGCUGACCUGCACACUCCUCACCUCUAGCAGACUCUGACAUGACAGAGGUGAUGUGGCAACCAGCUCUUAGGCGUGGGAGAGGCCUGGAGGCCCAAGGAGACACUGUUCGAGUCCGGGACACUGGAAUUUAUCUGCUAUAUAGUCAGGUCCUGUUUCAUGAUGUGACUUUCACCAUGGGUCAGGUGGUAUCUCGGGAAGGCCAAGGGAGAAGGGAGACUCUAUUCCGGUGUAUCAAAAGUAUGCCUUCUGAUCCUGACCGUGCCUACAACAGCUGCUACAGUGCAGGUGUCUUUCACUUACAUCAAGGGGAUAUUAUCACUGUCAAAAUUCCUCGGGCAAACGCAAAACUUAGCCUU